CACUGGGCUGUGGCUCAGCAGAAGAGCCUGUGCCUCGUGUGCAGAAGGUCUGAGGUUCGAUCCCCCGCCUCUCUAGUGG
rnacentral:tRNA from 1 species